UACGUAGGCAGCAAGCGUUGUUCGGAAUUACUGGGCGUAAAGAGUGUGUAGGCGGUGCUCUAAGUUCGGUGUGAAAUCUCCCGCUUAACUGGGAGGGUGCGCCGGAAACUGGAAUGCUCGAGCGUGGGAGAGGAAAGCGGAAUUCCUGGUGUAGCGGUGAAAUGCGUAGAUAUCAGGAGGAACACCUGCGGUGUAGACGGCUUUCUGGACCAUUGCUGACGCUGAGACACGAAAGCGUGGGUAGCAAACAGG
rnacentral:rRNA from 1 species